rnacentral:lncRNA from 1 species
CUCAAUUUAACCAUCGGUAAUUCCAGCAGAGAGCUUUGAGCUUGUUUGGUGCAGGGGAAUUGCCUUUUGAAACAACAGUCUGGAGGCAUGCCAAGCCAAGAUGUAGCCACAGUUUACCUAGGGCAUCAGACAGUGUGUUAUUAUUUCCUGUAGCCAUACCUGACUCUGGCGUGGAGCUAUGGACUCUGCAAGGAAGAGUUAUGUCCUCCUCAUCUGAAGAGAAGCCAGGCUGGUAGGAAGUGUGAGCAAGUGUGUCCUGAUAACAUCAGGGAGAAGGCAGCAUCCAAUGGCUUUGACUUUCCAUCGAUUGGAAAAUAAGCAGUCACUGAAAAGCCAGGGCGUCCUAGCAUAUCUCCAAAACACAAAGGUUCGCGUUCAGUAUGUGUCUGUAUCUCUGUCCCCUUUUCUCCCUUUACCUAGAUGUCUCUCCGUCUUUGGAAUUCCCAGAGAUGCCUAUGAAUGUGAGUGCCCUGUCACAGAGCUUCUGAGUUUGAAUUCUCACAUGGGUUUCUGUCAGGCUCCAUCUGCUUCCAGAACUGUGUGCAAACACUUACAUCCAAAACCCAGAAAAAAAGGAGGGGAGACAUAAAACAUUUUUAUUUGUUCUGACCAGAAAAGACAUAUGAUCCAGAUUGUGUGAAAGAAAGACCGAAAAAGAAAGGGAAACAGAUUGUCGGUCCUGGUCACGGCCCACAAGGAGCCUCUCAUGCCCAAACAGAGAGGUGCCUGCCUACGAGUAAACCAAGACGCAGCGCGUAUCCCACGCCCGACAAUGCAACAUUCUGAACCACUUCCCUCAUACAGACCCGGGAUGACAUUUUGACUUUCUAACUUGUUGCUGUAUGGGAUUGAACAAAUCAUUUAGCCUGAGACUGUUCCCUGCUUUGUACAACAGUGCCUAGGAAAUGCUAAUGAGAAAACGGGAGUGGUAGCGAUAACGGUAAUAGUGAUAAUGCUGCUAGUGGAGGAAAGAUGGCGACGGUGGUGAUGAUUCCGUCAAGAUGUGAUGGUGGCGAUAACAGUAGUGGCCGCGUAGAUGGUACAGAGAUGAUGGUGAUGCUGGUAGAGGUGGAGACAGCAGGAGUAGUGAUGACGACAGCGGUGAUGGAGGCCAUGGUGGCGGCUGCAGGGUUCUGAAGAACCGAACCGUGAAGCAAUUUUGCAGAAACUGUGUUCUGUGGAGGUUUGGGGAAGUAUCGGACAGUGGGGAUAUGAGAGCUGAGUUGGGACCCAAGCUCAAGUCCGAAGCCAUGACCAGCAAUCCAUGCCGUCUCUCACCCCUCCAUCUCGCAUCUGCAUCGCAUCUGCAAACUGGGCAUUAAUCUACACAAAGGCUUUCAAAAUAUUUUGCAGGCAUUUCCUGACCUAGUCCAGUGCUUCCUUCAUAAGGUGAAUAAAGAGGCUGAGAGAACGCAUGACUUGAUCACGGAAUGCUGAAAUGAAAACCAGCAUCUUCCAGAACCUAACACAGGGACUUCACUGAACCCCUGGGAUUCUCUCUCACUCCCUGGAUGUACAACUUCAAGUUAUGUUGAAAAAGUGCAGUGUUAGCCACGGUUUCUUUAUCAUCUAAAUAAACCUACAUCCUGC